GAUGAACGCUGGCGGCGUGCCUAAUACAUGCAAGUCGAGCGAACGGACGAGGGGCUUGCUUCUCUGAUGUUAGCGGCGGACGGGUGCGUAACACGUGGAUAACCUACCUAUAAGACUGGGAUAACUUCGGGAAACCGGAGCUAAUACCGGAUAAUAUUUUGAACCGCAUGGUUCAAAAGUGAAAGACGGUCUUGCUGUCACUUAUAGAUGGAUCCGCGCUGCAUUAGCUAGUUGGUAAGGUAACGGCUUACCAAGGCAACGAUGCAUAGCCGACCUGAGAGGGUGAUCGGCCACACUGGAACUGAGACACGGUCCAGACUCCUACGGGAGGCAGCAGUAGGGAAUCUUCCGCAAUGGGCGAAAGCCUGACGGAGCAACGCCGCGUGAGUGAUGAAGGUCUCCGGAUCGUAAAACUCUGUUAUUAGGGAAGAACAUAUGUGUAAGUAACUGUGCACAUCUUGACGGUACCUAAUCAGAAAGCCACGGCUAACUACGUGCCAGCAGCCGCGGUAAUACGUAGGUGGCAAGCGUUAUCCGGAAUUAUUGGGCGUAAAGCGCGCGUAGGCGGUUUUUUAAGUCUGAUGUGAAAGCCCACGGCUCAACCGUGGAGGGUCAUUGGAAACUGGAAAACUUGAGUGCAGAAGAGGAAAGUGGAAUUCCAUGUGUAGCGGUGAAAUGCGCAGAGAUAUGGAGGAACACCAGUGGCGAAGGCGACUUUCUGGUCUGUAACUGACGCUGAUGUGCGAAAGCGUGGGGAUCAAACAGGAUUAGAUACCCUGGUAGUCCACGCCGUAAACGAUGAGUGCUAAGUGUUAGGGGGUUUCCGCCCCUUAGUGCUGCAGCUAACGCAUUAAGCACUCCGCCUGGGGAGUACGACCGCAAGGUUGAAACUCAAAGGAAUUGACGGGGACCCGCACAAGCGGUGGAGCAUGUGGUUUAAUUCGAAGCAACGCGAAGAACCUUACCAAAUCUUGACACCCUUUGACAACUCUAGAGAUAGAGCUUUCCCCUUCGGGGGACAAAGUGACAGGUGGUGCAUGGUUGUCGUCAGCUCGUGUCGUGAGAUGUUGGGUUAAGUCCCGCAACGAGCGCAACCCUUAAGCUUAGUUGCCAUCAUUAAGUUGGGCACUCUAAGUUGACUGCCGGUGACAAACCGGAGGAAGGUGGGGAUGACGUCAAAUCAUCAUGCCCCUUAUGAUUUGGGCUACACACGUGCUACAAUGGACAAUACAAAGGGCAGCGAAACCGCGAGGUCAAGCAAAUCCCAUAAAGUUGUUCUCAGUUCGGAUUGUAGUCUGCAACUCGACUACAUGAAGCUGGAAUCGCUAGUAAUCGUAGAUCAGCAUGCUACGGUGAAUACGUUCCCGGGUCU
rnacentral:rRNA from 1 species